ACAUGCUACCUAAGACAGUAGGUGAACCCCACCUUAAGGUUCUUAAUUUCCUACCGAGGUAAAAUAAGAUUUCGUAUUUAACAAUCUUCUUUUAUUUCGGUAAGAGAAGAUUUUUCAUUUAUU
rnacentral:sRNA from 1 species